rnacentral:rRNA from 1 species
UACGUAGGGUGCAAGCGUUGUCCGGAAUUAUUGGGCGUAAAGAGCGUGUAGGCGGUCAGGUAGGUCCGUUGUGAAAACUCGAGGCUCAACCUCGAGACGCCGAUGGAAACCAUCUGACUAGAGUCCGGAAGAGGAGAGUGGAAUUCCUGGUGUAGCGGUGAAAUGCGCAGAUAUCAGGAAGAACACCCGUGGCUAAGGCGGCUCUCUGGGCCUGUACUGACGCUGAGGAGCGAAAGCGUGGGGAGCGAACAGG